rnacentral:rRNA from 1 species
AGAUUGAACGCUGGCGGCAUGCCUAACACAUGCAAGUCGAACGGGAGUAGCAAUACUCUAGUGGCGGACGGGUGAGGAAUACGUAGGAAUUUGCCCUUAAGUGGGGGAUAACCCGGGGAAACCCGGAUUAAUACCGCAUGACCUCGAAAGAGCAAAGUGGGGGAUCGCAAGACCUCACGCUUUUGGAGAAGCCUACGUCGGAUUAGCUAGUUGGUGAGGUAAUGGCUCACCAAGGCGACGAUCCGUAACUGGUCUGAGAGGAUGAUCAGUCACACCGGAACUGAGACACGGUCCGACUCCGUACGGGAGCAGCAGUGGGAAUAGUGGACAAGUGGG